rnacentral:rRNA from 1 species
GAUGAACGCUGACAGAAUGCUUAACACAUGCAAGUCUUUGGCGAAGCUGUGCUUGCACAGCCUAGCCAAGGCGGGCGGGUGAGUAACGCGUAAGGAACUUGCCCUGCAGUCAGGGAUAACAGACGGAAACGACUGAUAAGACCUGGUAAAGUCAGGCGGACUCAUGUCCAGCCUGAUGAAAAGAGAUGCUGCAGGAGAGCCUUGCGUCCUAUUAGCUUGUUGGUGGGGUAACGGCCCACCAAGGCGAUGAUAGGUAGCCGGCCUGAGAGGGUGGACGGCCACAAGGGGACUGAGAUACGGCCCUUACUCCUACGGGAGGCAGCAGUGGGGAAUAUUGGACAAUGGGGGCAACCCUGAUCCAGCAAUUCUGUGUGCACGAUGAAGGUUUUCGGAUUGUAAAGUGCUUUCAGCAGAGAAGAAAAAAAUGACGGUACCUGCAGAAGAAGCGACGGCUAAAUACGUGCCAGCAGCCGCGGUAAUACGUAUGUCGCAAGCGUUAUCCGGAAUUAUUGGGCAUAAAGGGCAUCUAGGCGGCCAGAUAAGUCUGGGGUGGAAACUUGCGGCUCAACCGCAAGCCUGCCCUGGAAACUAUGUGGCUAGAGUACUGGAGAGGUGGACGGAACUGCACGAGUAGAGGUGAAAUUCGUAGAUAUGUGCAGGAAUGCCGAUGAUGAAGAUAGUUCACUGGACGGUAACUGACGCUGAAGUGCGAAAGCUAGGGGAGCAAACAGG